UUUUAAUGCAUUUAAUAGCUCUAAAAAUAUUUUAUCUGGACCUCCUAUUUGCCAGACAUUCUAAUAGGUUCUAUGAAGGAUUUAGACAAAGACUCAGCCAUAGGUCCUAUCAUCGAGAUUCUUCCAGUCUGUGAGGAGGCACAAACCUGCAUAAAUGUAAUUACAUUAUAAUAUUGCAGGUGUAAAAUAAAAGUAUGUUAAGAGCAAAGAGUUGGCAUAUGAUUAACAGCUAUGAUAUGCAGGCAAGACUUCCAGAUGAGUUGCUGAUGAAACUUGUGUGAGGCACAAAAAAGAUGGAUAAGAGUUUCACAGGAGUGUAAAAUGGCAAUGUGCAUUAUGUGUUUGUUAAGGGGUAUCAAGAUGUGGAAGACAUCAUCUGUGAUUCUUCUUGAGUCUUGGACUCUGUAAAAUCCACAUUGUCAAGUCAUAAGUCAACUUGAAGCUCAGAGGCUGCCUGUGUUGGGAAAAAGGGUGUGAAUCUCCAGGGCAAGACAAAGAUUAAGUAAUGGAUGCUUUGAUGUUGUUUCCUUGAAUGCGUCUAUCUCAUGUGUGUUUCUCCCCAAAUAUUUGGUGAUAAUGUGGUUUGGCUGAAGGAGAGAAUGUUUGUUGAACAUUAUGUCAGCAUAAUAUCAGCUUUAGAAUUUCACAGAUAUCUAAGUGUCCUAAGAGACCAACUGGACUGGAUAUCAGACCAAGAUUCUGAUAAAAGGGGAUAACAGAGAUUAACCGGAGCAGAAAAAGUACUUUUCUGAGCCAGAGAUAACAAGAGAAACUUAAAGAAAGUGCUGAAGCAAGAAACUUUAAGCCUGUGAGUAGUGAUACUGUGGUUUGGAUGUUCAGAACAUCCAGGCACUUCCAGAUCAGUAUCAGCUUCAACGGCUCAAAGUUGUUCCAGGAAAUGAAUGAAGUGCCCUGUGUGACCUCCAGUAAGCUUGCUUAUUUCAAGAGAGCUUGGUGUUUUCUCGUGACAACCUUGCAGAUUACUUCGGUGACAAUGUAAGCCUUGUUCCAACACCCAGAGGAAAAGAAAGGUUUUUAAUGAAAUGGUGAGAGUUGAAGGAAGAAGAAUGACUAACACAACACCUUGGCCCACUCAUGGUGAAGAUGAGACUUAAAGGAAGUUUGGCUCCUACUUCCUUUCGAAAUAAUUGCAACACCUAGGAAAAUUAACAUUCAGUCAAUAGCUGGGCUCUGCCAAUGUGCAUUUUCUUCCUUGCAGAACACCGAAAAAAAAAUUGAAUUCCAGAGUACAUUUCUUACUUAGAUUAAGGACACUGACAAGGUCAUUUCUAGUCUGCCCCAGGUACCAUAUGCAAAAGGAUGGGAGUGGGAGGGAGAACACUGAUGAAGAUAACCUGGCACCCUUACUACCUGUGUGACUUUGAGGUUAACUUUUUCAGGCUAAUAUUUGUAUUUGGAAAAUGGGAGUGAUGAUUUUGUAUUUACUCGCAAAGAAGGUUAGAAGGAUUAAACAAGAUAACACAUGUAAGGCACGUAGCACUCUGCCUGGCACUGAGCAAAUGCUACAUAGGAGAUAGCUGCUAUUAAUAGCGCAACACGAUAGUUUCCUUGUGGAAUUUUCUCCCACUGACUCUCUUUCAACUAAGUGGCAGUACUGUUUUUGUAUCUAUUUUAGGAAAAAAUAAAGACCUGCAGAACAAACCUAGUUUCUAUUUCCUUGUCAUGAAAUAAGCUUUCCCUUAAGAAAUACCCAGCACAAAGACAACCCAAAUAUAUUAUGAGAAGGUUCAUUACUUCUGAAUGGUCAUUUAACUAAAGUGACAAAAG
rnacentral:lncRNA from 1 species